GUAUUUGAGUAUAAUGAGUACCCAUCUGGCCUUGCAGUUUUCCAACCUGGGCAUUGCUUCAUUAAGAGCUGACACAACUUGGUCUUAGCAGACAGAGGUCAGUUAAAAAAAACCUCAUC
rnacentral:lncRNA from 1 species